CGCACCGACCGACCAAGCCCCAAGCCCGCACGAGACGAGAGCCGCGUGAAUCCGCUGCGUCGCGUGACGUCUUCGCCCGCGCCUUCUUCCUCCCUCCCCCGCCUCACCGGCCUCGCCGAAACCCUAGCCCUGUAGCCCCGGCCCCCGCCGCCGUAGAGGGAAGGGGAGAGCGGCGUCAGGAGGAGGGGGGCGCCGAUGGGGAAGAAGAAGAAGCGCGUGGAGAAGGUCUUCUGCUACUACUGCGACCGCGAGUUCGACGACGAGAAGAUCCUCGUCCAGCACCAGAAGGCCAAGCACUUCAAGUGCCACGUCUGCCACAAGAAGCUCUCCACCGCCUCCGGCAUGGCCAUACACGUCCUCCAAGUCCACAAGGAGUCUGUCACGAAGGUUCCUAAUGCGAAGCCUGAUAGGGAGUCAACGGAUAUUGAGAUCUUUGGAAUGCAAGGAAUCCCUGCACAUGUAUUGGUUGCUCACUAUGGCGAAGAGGAAGAUCCUUCAGCGAAGGUAGCCAAAGUAGAAGUGCCACAGGUAAGGCCUGUUAUUAUGCCUAAUUCGCUAGGCAUGGCAUUUCCUCCACGACCAGCUUAUGGUGUAGCACCUCCAAUCUAUAAUCCUGCACUGAAUCCUUCGAUGGCCCGACCUCCGAUUUGGCCUACUCCACCAGCACAAGCUUGGUAUCCACAACAAGUAGCAUACCCACAACAACCACCAGUUUCAGUUGCUCCAGUAGUUGCUGGGCUGCCACCACAACAGCCACUAUUUCCUAUUCAGAAUGUGCCUACUCCUAUGACAUCAGCACCUGCUAAUAUGCUUCAGACAUCGUUUCCUAUGGCUCCUCCAGGAGUACCUUCACCUGUUGCCCCUCAGGUUUCCCAGCCUUUGUUUCCUGUUAACACUUCCGUUGUCAAUGGAGCUGCAAGUUCCCCAUUUGUAGCAUCUGUUGCACCUGGAACCAUCCCGGCAAGCUCUCCUGCAGCAGUUGGAUAUGGAGCCAAUAACCAAGGCACUGGUGGUCCAGCAGUUGGAUCUUCACCUGCAGUAUCCAAUAACAAAACGCCUGGUACCCAGCCAGCUACAAAUGAGGUCUAUCUGGUGUGGGAUGAUGAAGCAAUGUCAAUGGAAGAAAGAAGGUUGUCGUUGCCCAAGUAUCAGGUGCAUGAUGAAACUAGCCAGGUAAGUUGUCUAUUUUAUGUUUAAACUAUUAUUUUAGUUUCUCAUACUAAAGUUCCCUGCAGUUCUGCAUUGAGUGAUAGAGAUAUGAUGUUUUGACGCUUUCAACUAUUUCUUACGUAAAGUGUAUGCAUGGUAUUUGUAUCUUUUUUUGGUGCUGUUCUCAUCUAGGCAGUUCAUUGUAGGGUGGUAGGAUAAAUGUUAAUAUUAGGCUGACAUUAUUAGACAUGCAUGUUGCUUCAUGCGCUUGUGUGUAAGGAGUGAGUGAACAUCUUGGAAGGUUUCAGUACUCUUGACUUGUUUAUUAUAUACGGAUACGUUUGGUGAUACAUACAUCUCAGUUGUGUGUAACUUAAAUGGAAAAUUAAAAUAGUAUCUCAGUUUACAGCCAAUUCUUAUUUGUUCCAUGGAUAGAACUGCCACUUUCAUUUUCACUUAUUUUUUUGGCACAUGGAAAAUUAAAAUAGGAUUCUCAGUCACAAGGGCCUGUUAAUCUUGAAUGUUUUGUGGGGAAUAUGAAAUAGGCUCAUCCGGUCAUAGCAUAUGUUAGUCUGAGAUGAUUCGUGUUCUAUGCUACCUUUCUACAUUUUCACAAUGUCUCCGCUGUGUUUAUUUGAUUGAUCACCUAUAUCCUGCUGAUUUCGCGCACAUGAGGAGUUCCAAGUAGGUAUUUACAUCGUUCUUCCUAAUAGUAAGUUUUCUAUAAUCUGACAAAUCUCGUGGUGCUGUGAUAAUGACCUGAGGGUUAUCGACCAAGCCCUGGACGGUUGGCAAAUCUCAAAACUAGGUGCUGAGGUUCUGCCAAUACGGUAGCAUUUAUUGUAGCUUAAUUUUGGUCGAGAAUGUGGCAAGAGUUUUGCUCCAGGUCAGCUUUCAUUUGGCCCAGUGAGCCUGAGAUGGUGCUUGAAUCUUUGUUCCUGAGGCAUCUACCAUAUCUAACACCAAGUUCUUUGUUUCGCGAUUUGUAUGAACAGAUGAACUCAGUUGACGCAGCAAUUGAUCGAAGAAUAUCAGAAAGUCGGCUAGCAGGACGCAUGGCCCUAUGAAGAAGCUGGGCCUUGCUUGGUAGAUCACCCCUUGCAAUUCAGCGAUGGACCCUGCCUGUGUGUGUGUAUCGCCUUUUUGCAGUGGUCCUGUUCAUUUAGUUAGUCAAUGGAGUUACUGCAGUUAAAGAAUGUGCUGUUUCUGACUUGUCGGUCGGCGUCGAGCUUUUGCUCUUGUAUCCUUCCAGCUGAAGGAAAUGAAUGUUAGUGUUUAGAAGUUAUUUGGUCCAUUUUUAUUUUACCUCUCAGUUCUGCCCGGUUGUAGCCUAAUUAUAUGUUCCUGAUGGUUUUUGCUGUUUGCGAAGCAAACUCUAAAUUGUUGUUGCCUAUUUUAAUAACACAUGUUCCAACUGUUCCAAGAA